GAUGAACGCUGGCGGCGUGCCUAACACAUGCAAGUCGAGCGAACGCACGAGCAGCGUGCUUUUCUGAUGUUAGCGACGGACGGGUGAUUAAUCCGUGGAUAACCUACCUAUAAGACUGGGAUAACUUCGGGAAACCGGAGCUAAUACCGGAUCAUAUUUUGAACCGCAUGGUUCAAAAGUGAAAGACGGUCUUGAUGUCACUUAUAGAUGUAUCCGCGCUGCAUUAGCUAGUUGGUAAGGUAACGGCUUACCAAGGCAACGAUGCAUAGCCGACCUGAGAGGGUGAUCGGCCACACUGGAACUGAGACACGGUCCAGACUCCUACGGGAGGCAGCAGUAGGGAAUCUUCCGCAAUGGGCGAAAGCCUGACGGAGCAACGCCGCGUGAGUGAUGAAGGUCUUCGGAUCGUAAAACUCUGUUAUUAGGGAAGAACAUAUGUGUAAGUAACUGUGCACAUCUUGACGGUACCGAAUCAGAAAGCCACGGCUAACUACGUG
rnacentral:rRNA from 1 species